CUACGGGCCGCUCCAGUGAGGAAUAUUGCACAAUGGGGGAAACCCUGAUGCAGCAACGCCGCGUGGAGGAUGACGCAUUUCGGUGUGUAAACUCCUUUUAUGAGUCAAGAAAAUGACGGUAGCUCAUGAAUAAGCACCGGCUAACUCCGUGCCAGCAGCCGCGGUAAUACGGAGGGUGCAAGCGUUACUCGGAAUCACUGGGCGUAAAGGACGCGUAGGCGGGAUGUCAAGUCAGGUGUGAAAUCCUAUGGCUCAACCAUAGAACUGCACUUGAAACUGGCAACCUAGAGUAUGGGAGGGGGAGAUGGAAUUAGUGGUGUAGGGGUAAAAUCCGUAGAUAUCACUAGGAAUACCGAAAGCGAAGGCGAUCUCCUGGAACAUUACUGACGCUAAGGCGUGAAAGCGUGGGGAGCAAACAGGAUUAGAUACCCGUGUAGUC
rnacentral:rRNA from 1 species